rnacentral:rRNA from 1 species
UUGUUUAACCACACCCCCACGGGUAACAGCAGUGACUAACAUUGAGCUAUAAACGAAAGUUUGACUAAAUCAUAAUAAAUAAGGGUUGGUAAAUCUCGUGCCAGCCACCGCGGUCAUACGAUUAACCCAAAUUAACAGAAAAACGGCGUAAAGGGUGUUUAAGCAUAAACCUCAUAAAUAAAGUUAAAACUCAACUAUGCUGUAAUACGCCCUAGUUGGCAUUAAAAUAUACAACUUACGUGACUUUACUACUGCUGAAGACACUAAAGCUAAGGUACAAACUGGGAUUAGAGACCCCACUAUGCUUAGCCGUAAACCUAGGUAAUUAAAUAACAAAAUUACUCGCCAGAGAACUACUAGCCACUGCUUAAAACUCAAAGGACUUGGCGGUGCCCUAGACCCUCCUAGAGGAGCCUGUUCUAUAAUCGAUAAACCCCGAUACACCUCACCCCUUCUAGCUUAACAGUCUAUAUACCGCCAUCGUCAGCUCACCCCAAUAGGGCCCCAAAGUGAGCAAAAUCAUCUAAACCAUAAAAACGUUAGGUCAAGGUGUAGCAUAUGAAGGGGGAAGCAAUGGGCUACAUUUUCUAUAUUAGAACAUAACGGAUUGCCUACUGAAAUAGAGGCAUGAAGGAGGAUUUAGUAGUAAAUUAAGAGUAGAGAGCUUAAUUGAAAUAGGCAAUAGGGUGCGUACACACCGCCCGUCACCCUCCUCGAUAAAGUAACCUUCAAUACCUAAUUAGAAUACACUAAAAAGAGGAGAAAAG